UACGUAGGGGGCAAGCGUUGUCCGGAAUCAUUGGGCGUAAAGGGCGCGUAGGCGGCAUAUUAAGUCAGCUGUGAAAUCUCCGAGCUUAACUCGGAACUGUCAGCUGAUACUGAUGUGCUAGAGUGCAGAAGGGGCAAUCGGAAUUCUUGGUGUAGCGGUGAAAUGCGUAGAUAUCAAGAGGAACACCUGAGGUGAAGACGGGUUGCUGGGCUGACACUGACGCUGAUAGCGCGAAAGCCAGGGGAGCAAACGGG
rnacentral:rRNA from 1 species